rnacentral:rRNA from 1 species
CGUGUAGGCGGCCUCGCAAGUCGGAUGUGAAAGCCCUGGGCUCAACCCAGGAAGUGCACUCGAAACUGCAAGGCUUGAGUUCCGGAGAGGAAAGCGGAAUUCUCGGUGUAGAGGUGAAAUUCGUAGAUAUCGAGAGGAACACCGGUGGCGAAGGCGGCUUUCUGGACGGCGACUGACGCUGAGACGCGAAAGCGUGGGGAGCAAACA